GCAAUCCAAAACAAACAUAACAAAUACAAAUAGUAGUUAACUUUAGAUUAAUUCGGAAAUUGACUUGUGUGACAACAAUUCUUCACGUUUCGAAAGAACCAAAAGAGAAAUAGGAAGCCACCGCUCUAAAUGUUGGCAGCUAAUUUGUAAUAAGAUGUGUGCCCAGGCUGAAAGGCCAUCUUCGCCGCAGUGUCGCAGAUUAUUCAAGCGGUUAUUCAUGUCUCACAGGACAGCACUGCGCGCCAGCUGCAGAGCAAUGCAGUGUUGGCGUGUGGGAAUUUUCAGAUGCCAUAUACAUAUUAUACUACGUCACGUCCAUGGCGUGAGUCGGGAAUCUCUGAACAGCUGUUUACAGUUUAGAAGCUCUUGGAUUACAGCAAAUGCCUUGACUAUCAUGCGCCCUUCAAGAUUCGGCGAUUCUUCUCAGAAUAUGACAAGCGACGAGAGGAGGAAACGUGAAAGGGUCGUGCAGCCUACCGGUCGUCAACUAUUUUGUUCAAAACCAUUUAUUCUACUAAAUGUGCCAUCGAGAUGAUACAGAUCACUAUGAUCCUAGCAUGGACUGAUGUCAACUUAGAGGAGGAAACGUGAAAGGGACAUGCAGACUACUAUCAACUAUUUUGUUAAAUAUCAUUGUAUCCUACUGAAUGUUCUGUCGAAAUGAUACAGGAUUCAUCAUAAUUAUCUGCUGUUUGUAUUGGACUUGCUAGAUCACCAACUCCAGCAUGAACCAAUCUCUCAUUUCAUCUUCUCGAGAGAAGAUUGGAUAACUGAUCGGUGGUUUCAUGUGUUCUAAACUCCAGGUUUCUAAAUUUGCAUGGCACACUUUAUGAGAAAUCAUGUCCUUUCAAGAAAGUCAACAAGGUCCCUUGUUUACUAACCAAUUGGCCUGCUACCCUUGAAUCUCCCUUUUUACUUUCUUAAGCGGGCCAUCUUUAUGUGAGGGUAAUCCUUCGCUACUUGUCAUGGACUUCAUCCACUG